rnacentral:rRNA from 1 species
GACGAGCCACCCGAACGUUAUUCGGAAUUACUGGGCUUAAAGGGUGCGUAGGCGGUGCAGCAAGUCGGGAGUGAAAUACCUCAGCUUAACUGGGGAACUGCGUCUGAUACUGGUGUGGCUUGAGUGCAGGAGAGGAACGCGGAAUUCCAGGUGUAGCGGUGAAAUGCGUAGAUAUCUGGAGGAAUACCGGUGGCGAAGGCGGCAUCCUGGACCGAGAUUGACGCUGAUGAGCGAAAGCUAGGGGAGCAAACGGG